rnacentral:lncRNA from 1 species
GUCUAACAAUAAACUGAAUGCUGAGAUCUCACAAAAUCUCAUCUGUAGUCUUAGUAACAGACAAGCUUACACACAAAAUAUGGGAUCAGAUUUAAUAGACAUGUAUGGUUUUGAUAUGAGCUGGAUCUAUUUUGUUUGUCUUGCUUAACAACAAAGAGCUGCGAUCCUUUAAAAGAGCCAAAUCAUCAUCAAAAUCUCAAAAACUAUACAGUCACAAGUGAAGAUUGUGGAAUCUGACCUGGAAGUUUGCUAACAAAGGUAAACCUUUAUCAGUUUUACGUUAUAUAUAUAUAUAUAUAUAAAUAAAAUAAGGUGUAAUUGUUUAUUUUUAUUUAUUUAUUAGUUUGUUUUUAGGAAGUGAAAUGGGUCUUCCACACAGGAUUUCAUUGUUUCUCCUCCUCUGCUCAUCUCCAAUAGUGUUUGUUGAUGGUGCUUCCAACUCCACCGAGGCUCUCUGUGAUCGUCGCUGUCUGGCAAAUGUUCGGGUUGAGAAAGAACUGUUCAGUGCGCCACAGGAUGAUAACUGUACCAUGGUAGUGAACAUCACUUCAAUACAAUAUGAGACGCUGUCUUUCGAUACAAAGGGCAUGGAAAUGAGCAGCCGUAUCAAGGUAAACAUGGAAUGGAAGGAUCCUGAUCUUGGAUGGAUGCAAGAGAAACCUAGAUUUCCAACAAUUGUUAUGCCAGUUGAUAAAAUCUGGAUUCCUCAGAUAGUUUUGGACAACGCAAUUGAAACGACUGUGGAGCCGUACACUAAGGAUGUACAGGUGAGGCGGGAUGGUACAGUGAGCCAUGCAAUUGUUAUGUUCACGACGGUGAGCUGUCAAAUCAACCUCUUUAACUACCCCUUUGUGACUGGGUCGUGCCCCGUGGCCAUCAAUGGAUGGAGCCAGAAAAGUAAGACUGAAAUAACAAGAAUAUUUGUUGAUGAGAUUAUGAACAUUCGGAAUAUUUCAACUUAUAUUAUGCAAACAUUAUAA